CCUACGGGUGGCAGCAGUGGGGAAUUUUGGACAAUGGGCGCAAGCCUGAUCCAGCUAUUCCGCGUGUGGGAUGAUGGCCCUCGGGUUGUAAACCACUUUAGUAGAGAACGAAAAGGAGCUAUCGAAUAAAUAGCUCUGCUGACGGUACUCUAAGAAUACGCACCGGCUAACUACGUGCCAGCAGCCGCGGUAAUACGGAAGGUCCGGGCUUUAUCCGGAUUUAUUGGGUUUAAAGGGAGCGUAGGCCGCAUGUCAAGCGUGCUGUGAAAUGUCCGGGCUAAACCCGGGCCUUGCAGCGCGAACUGGCGUGCUUGAGUCCGCGGAAAGCAGGCGGAAUUCGUCGUGUAGCGGUGAAAUGCUUAGAUAUGACGAAGAACCCCGAUUGCGAAGGCAGCUUGCUGCAGCGGAACUGACGCUGAUGCUCGAAAGCGCGGGUAUCGAACAGGAUUAGAUACCCGAGUAGUC
rnacentral:rRNA from 1 species